UACGAAGGGGGCAAGCGUUGUUCGGAAUUACUGGGCGUAAAGGGCGCGUAGGCGGCCGAUCAAGUCAGGCGUGAAAUUCCCGGGCUCAACCUGGGGGCUGCGCUUGAUACUGAUUGGCUUGAAUGCGGGAGAGGAUAGUGGAAUUCCCAGUGUAGAGGUGAAAUUCGUAGAUAUCGGGAGGAACACCAGUGGCGAAGGCGGCGAUCUGGGUCGAUACUGACGCUGAGGUGCGAAAGCGUGGGGAGCAAACAGG
rnacentral:rRNA from 1 species